GGGUGUAUAGCUCAGUUGGUAGAGCAGCUGACUCUUAAUCAGCGGGUCGAAGGUUCGAGUCCUUCUACACCCACCA
rnacentral:tRNA from 3 species